UACCUGUCACCAGAAUGGAGCACGCACCAUUGGCUCCAGACUUCCCACCUUGUCACCACUGGGUAUGAGAAUCAGCAGUGACCUCUGUGAGGAACAUUGAGGGUGGGGAUUGGCUGACGCUGUCCGACUUGAGGAGGAAAAUCCAGUCUGGAUGGUGUAGUACUGCCCAUAGGAGAAGUAGACAGGGGUUCAGCCAAGCGGAGAGACGAAGCACAGCCCCCAGGAGGAGUCUAGAGAUAGGCAGCUGUGACAGGAGACAGAGGAGACAGCACAAAUCUUACUGACAGAGGACCAGUUGGGCUCAUAUUCCUGAUAUGAGCUAGACUACGAAAGAGACCAGGACACCGGUUAAGACUUCCUGCAACAUCUGCCGGAUAAUCAUGAAGAAAAUUGGGAAGUGCACAGGGCAGUGAGACAGACCUACUGAGUAUCCAGUGAGCGGAGCAUAGU